rnacentral:rRNA from 1 species
GACGAACGCUGGCGGCGUGCUUAACACAUGCAAGUCGAGCGGAGCGGCGAACGGGUGAGUAACGCGUGAGUAACUGCCCCCCUCUCUGGGAUAACAGUUGGAAACGGCUGCUAAUACCGGAUAGUGGGGGAUGACUCGCGUCCUAUCGGCUUGUUGGUGGGGUAGUGGCCUACCAAGGCGACGACGGGUAGCCGGCCUGAGAGGGCGGCCGGCCACAAGGGGCUGAGAGACGGCCCAGAGUCCUACGGGGGGCAGCAGGGGGGAAUAUGGCACAGUGGUGAAAACCCUGAUGCGGCGACGCCGCGUGCGGGAUGACGUCCUUCGGGUUGUAAACGGCUUUCAGCCAUGACGCGGUAGUGACAGAAGAAGCACCGGCUAACUACGUGCCAGCAGCCGCGGUAAUAC